CCCCAAUCCAAAUGUACUCGGGCAACAGGUAAGCGAAACACGGCACCCCCUGCUACCCUUACUGCCACAGUGUCCCCAGUGUGCUGAUGCUCUGAGACCAAGUUCUUUUGGAGCAGUGUCAUCGUAGCUCCUGUGUCUCUCAGCCCAUUCACCACUCUGCCAUUCAGCUUCACAGUUUGCCGAUGUUGCUGGCGAUUAUCCUGGUGAGCUGCUUGCACUGGGUCUGCCUCGUGUAGAAUGCCCCAAAAUUCCUCUUGCUCUAGGCAGUGAGCAGCAGGCUGAGGUGGGCGCUGGUUUCCAUUAACUGGUCUC